CAGCACACCAGCUCCAAUAAGUAUUUCACGAGUCGGGUAGUAAUCUGAGCACUGUACGUGCACUAUCUCAUGUAACUCCCUGAGGACCUGUAAGCUCUGGAUGCUGAACAGAGGAGGAAGAAGGGAAGAGAGCCUGGGCAGCUGGCUGGGAAAAGGCAGAGGGUGCUUUCCUGUCGCUGCCUGCUCUUGCUAAGCAUUGGGAGAAGAGGGAGAAUGUGGAAGGAGAGUGCACACCUGGGAGCUGCAUCCACUGGCUGACCAGACCAUCCUGAAGCUAUCUGCCAUCCUGAAUGGUUAGCCUCACCAGGUGGCCCUCAAGGAGGCUCAGGGCUUCCUCUUUGACAGGAAGCCAGCAAUUCUGAGAGAUAGAGCAGCUCUCAGCGAAGUUCCCAGAGAAGCUAAGAGCACAGGAUUUGGAAAAUGACUGCCUAAUUCCACUCUGUAUGAACUUGGCCCAACUCCUUAAACUCUCAGUGAAGGGAGAUGAAGAUAAGGAAUAAAUAUGAGCUGUUAUGGGGGAGUGAAUAGGAUAAUGCAUAUAAAAUCUUUG
ensembl:lncRNA